GAUGAACGCUGGCGGCGUGCCUAAUACAUGCAAGUCGAGCGAAUGGAUUAAGAGCUUGCUCUUAUGAAGUUAGCGGCGGACGGGUGAGUAACACGUGGGUAACCUGCCCAUAAGACUGGGAUAACUCCGGGAAACCGGGGCUAAUACCGGAUAACAUUUUGAACCGACUGGUUCGAAAUUGAAAGGCGGCUUCGGCUGGCACUUCUGGAUGGACCCGCGUCGCAUUAGCUAGUUGGGGAGGUAACGGCGCACCAAGGCAACGAUGCGUAGCCGACCUGAGAGGGUGAUCGGCCACACUGGGACUGAGACACGGCCCAGACUCCUACGGGAGGCAGCAGUAGGGAAUCUUCCGCAAUGGACGAAAGUCUGACGGAGCAACGCCGCGUGAGUGAUGAAGGCUUUCGGGUCGUAAAACUCUGUUGUUAGGGAAGAACAAGUGCUAGUUGAAUAAGCUGGCACCUUGACGGUACCUAACCAGAAAGCCACGGCUAACUACGUGCCAGCCGCCGCCGUAA
rnacentral:rRNA from 1 species